CGCGCGAGAAACCAACUGGCAACACGGAUCAAUCCUGAUUUGACAGGCGGUCGUGGAUACUACCUACCUCCUGAGACGUCAUUCUGUCAUCGUGAUAGAUCGUAAUGACUAAGCAUUAUUAUGCAUUGCAUCUGAACUGAUUUAUUUAUAUUGAAUAUCAAAAGUAAUCGAAUUUGUAAAAUUAGUUUAAAUUUAUUAAUAUUGUUUGCCGGUUCACGAAUUAGAAGUAGCCUAUAGGCAGCCGUUACACCUACUAGUGGAGAGAAUUUAUAUAGCCCAAGCUGAUAGUACUAUACAUUUCAGGAGGUCUAGCAGACCGAAUACUUAAGGUUGAUAUUAGGAUAGGACAUUCGGAAAGUCCACUGAAUUCUUUGAAGCACCUUCUAAUAAACCGCUUUCGAACAUCAGUGCGAACUUUUUGUCCUGUAUCAACAAU